AGAGUUUGAUCCUGGCUCAGGACGAACGCUGGCGGCGUGCUUAACACAUGCAAGUCGAACGGACUCCAUGCAGUAGCAAUACUGCGGAAGAGUUAGUGGCGAACGGGUGAGUAUCACGUGAGAAACCAACCCCGGUCUCUGGGAUAACAGGUGGAAACACCUGCUAAUACCGGAUGCCGUCGUUUCCUCGCAUGGGGAGAUGACGAAAGGGCUACCGGAUCGGGACGGUCUCGCGGCCUAUCAGCUUGUUGGGGAGGUAACGGCUCACCAAGGCUUCGACGGGUAGCUGGUCUGAGAGGAUGAUCAGCCACACUGGGACUGAGACACGGCCCAGACUCCUACGGGAGGCAGCAGUGGGGAAUCUUGCGCAAUGGGCGAAAGCCUGACGCAGCAACGCCGCGUGCGGGAUGAAGGCCUUCGGGUUGUAAACCGCUUUUACCAGGAAGGAAAAUGACAGUACCUGGAGAAUAAGGUGCGGCCAACUACGUGCCAGCAGCCGCGGUGACACGUAGGCACCAAGCGUUGUCCGGAUUUAUUGGGCGUAAAGAGCUCGUAGGCGGUUCAGUAAGUCGGGUGUGAAAACUCUGGGCUUAACCCAGAGACGCCACCCGAUACUGCUGUGACUUGAGUCCGGUAGGGGAGUGGGGAAUUCCUGGUGUAGCGGUGAAAUGCGCAGAUAUCAGGAGGAACACCAAUGGCGAAGGCACCACUCUGGGCCGAGACUGACGCUGAGGAGCGAAAGCGUGGGUAGCAAACAGGAUUAGAUACCCUGGUAGUCCACGCCGUAAACGGUGGGCACUAGGUGUGGGUUCCAACCAACGGAAUCCGCGCCGUCGCUAACGCAUUAAGUGCCCCGCCUGGGGAGUACGGCCGCAAGGUUAAAACUCAAAGGAAUUGACG
rnacentral:rRNA from 1 species